rnacentral:rRNA from 1 species
UACGAAGGGGGCUAGCGUUGCUCGGAAUCACUGGGCGUAAAGAGCGCGUAGGCGGCUCGUUAAGUGAGAAGUGAAAGCUGUGGGCUCAACCCACAAACCGCUUUUCAUACUGGCGAGCUGGAGUGAUGCAGAGGUGGAUAGAAUUCCCGGUGUAGCGGUGAAAUGCGUUGAUAUCGGGAGGAAUACCCGUGGCGAAGGCGGUCCACUGGGCAUCAACUGACGCUGAGGCGCGAAAGCGUGGGUAGCAAACAGG